rnacentral:rRNA from 1 species
ACGCUCGACACCUACGGGAGCAGCAGUGGGGAAUAUUGCACAAUGGGGGAAACCCUGAUGCAGCGACGCCGCGUGAAGGAAGAAGUAUCUCGGUAUGUAAACUUCUAUCAGCAGGGAAGAAAGUGACGGUACCUGACUAAGAAGCCCCGGCUAACUACGUGCUAGCAGCCGCGGUAAUCUGAGGCGGGCUGGCAAGGC